GUAACAAGGUCUCCGUUGGUGAACCAGCGGAGGGAUCAUUACUGAGUUACCGCUCUAUAACCCUUUGCGAACAUACCUACAACUGUUGCUUCGGCGGGUAGGCUGUCCCCUGAAAAGGACGCCUCCCGGCCCGGACCGGACCCCCUGCGGGGCCGGACUCGGCGCCCGCCGGAGGAUAACCAAACGCUAUUUUAACGACGUUUCUUCUGAGUGGCAUAAGCAAAAUAAUCAAAACUUUUAACAACGGAUCUCUUGGUUCUGGCAUCGAUGAAGAACGCAGCGAAAUGCGAUAAGUAAUGUGAAUUGCAGAAUUCAGUGAAUCAUCGAAUCUUUGAACGCACAUUGCGCCCGCCAGCCAUUCUGGCGGGCAUGCCUGUUCGAGCGUCAUUUCAACCCUCAAGCUCUGCUUGGUGUUGGGGCUCUACGGUCGACGUAGGCCCUCAAAGGUAGUGGCGGACCCUCCCGGAGCCUCCUUUGCGUAGUAACAUUUCGUCUCGCACUGGGAUCCGGAGGGACUCUUGCCGUAAAACCCCCCAAUUUUUCAAGGUUGACCUCGGAUCAGGUAGGAAUACCCGCUGAACUUAAGCAUA
rnacentral:rRNA from 1 species